UAGCAUUGACAGCCGUGGCACAACUUUUCCCGAGGCAAAGUGAAAUCAAGGCGCGCACUCUGAGAGAAUAUAGUCCCUGCCGUUUUAAGUCCCCCUCGUCCCCACCGGAGGGGCGGGCGGGCUGCGGGAGGCGGUUACUCGGCUCCUGGGCGGAGCGGGGGCCGCCUGGGGCCCCGGGCGCAGCGCUGGCGGGGGGGCUGGGGCGGAGUCCCCCCCCUAGUUUGGCGGAAAGUGAGUGAUGAGUCUGUGUCCCUAGCAAAGAGGCAAAGAACUUGCUGUGCAGCCUGAGUAGUUGUUUCUUUCGAUUGUUGUUGUGGCUUUUUUAUUUUUUAAUUGCGCUGCUCGGGGUGGGCUUGUCUGAGGGGGGGCUGGUUUGCGGCCGCGGAGAAUAAACCAACCCCCCCCUCCCCGAGAGCCAACGGAACAAAAACAAAAGAAACUUCGCCGGGCUCCGAAAGUGGCAGCAAAGUGCCGGGCAAGUUGCAGGGAUGGAGCUACAGAGCUUGCAAGAGGCGUUAAAAGUGGAAAUCCAGUGUCACCAGAAACUAGUUGCACAGAUGAAGCAAGAUCCACAGAACGGUGAUCUUAAGAAACAAAUCCAUGAAAGGCAAUCAAGAAUAGCAGCUCUUAAUGAAAAACAAAAGCUGGCGGUGCGGAGCUGCCCCGCGGCGGUGCUGGUGGGAAGCGGGGGCAGCGGAAACACCAAGCCCGGCGGCGGCAGCGGCGGCGGGGUCCCGGCGCUUCUCAAAGCGCCCGGCGGCGGCGGCGGCGGCAGCCAGAGCCAGAGCCAGAGCCUGGCCAUCUCCGUCCUGCCGGCCAAGGCUCCCAUCGCGAUGGUGACCGCGCACCUCAACGGGGGGCUGGGCUGCAGCGCGGCCGGCGUGGAGCCCCCGCAGAGCGCCCCCAUCAACCUGCAGACCACGGCCAAGCUGGUGACCGCCCGGAGAGCGCCCGAGCUCGGCUCCCGCUCCCAGGCUUUGGGAACUAUCACUGCAGUGCCCAUUAAAGUUCCUCAGGUCAGCUCCUUGCAGAGGUUGGCAGGACAAGGACCAGCAGUGCUACCUCAGGUUAGGCCAAAGACCCUGAUUCCAGACAGCCUUCCUAUUUCCCCAUGCAGAGACCAACCUUCCAAACAGCCUCCUACUUUCCAAAAGGCAACAGUAGUGAGCAUCAAAAACCCUAGCCCUGCCCUCCCCACUGCCAAUAAUACUGUCAGCCAUGUACAGACGCCUAACAGCCAGUCACAAAGUGUGGCCGAGUCUACAUCUAUCUCAUCACCUCUGAGCAGUGCAGGUGUGGCCUAUGCUAUUAUAUCCACCUCCCCGAACAAUGCAAGUCCUAUCAGCACGAGCGCUACCGUCUCUGUGGUCAACGAUAGCAUUAAAGUGCAACCACUCCUCAUUAGUGCUGACAGCAAGGUUAUCAUCAUUCAGCCUCAAGUCCAGACCCAGACAGAAAAUAAAGCGGAAACAAAGAAACCUCCUGAAGAGUCACCUCAGGGACCCCCUGCUACCAAAAAGAAAAAGGAGGAAAAUCCAGAGAAAAUUGCCUUUAUGGUAGCAUUAGGCCUGGUUACAACAGAACACUUGGAAGAAAUCCAGAGCAAGCGUCAGGAAAGAAAGAGAAGAAGCACUGCAAAUCCAGCCUAUAGCGGACUCUUGGAAACUGAGCGGAAACGCCUGGCAUCAAAUUAUUUGAAUAACCCCUUGUUCCUUUCAGCAAGAGCAAAUGAGGAUCCAUGUUGGAAGAAUGAAAUUCACCACGAUGAACACUGUACAGCAUGUAAGCGUGGCAUUAACUUGCAACCAUGUGGCACAUGUCCAAGAGCAUAUCAUCUCAAUUGCUUGGACCCUCCUCUGAAAACUGUCCCCAAAGGGGUUUGGGCCUGCCCAAAGUGCCAACAAAAGGUAAGUGAGUUGAGGCAUGUGUAUUGCAGUCAUUCCAAGAAAAGAAAAAAGGAGAGAGCCUACAACAGUAGCUAGGGAGACAAGAUUAUCAAAAGUAAUACAGUAGAACCUCAAAGAUACAAACACCAGAGUUACGGACUGGCCAGUCAACCAGACACCAUGUGAAACCGGAAGUAACCAAUCCGGCAGCAGCAAAGACUAAAAAAAAAAAAAGGCAAGUAAUGUACUGGCAGCUACUUACAGCUAGGAGGUGAUGAAGCUGGGGCUGCCAGCCUAAGGCAGUCGGAGCCAACAGAGCAGGAGCAAUGCUGGGGUCUGCGCCACUUUCACCCCUUUCCCCACCAGGAGGGGGAUGCACUGUUUUUACCACCACCCCCUUUCCCAGGCCAGGAGGGGGACACGCUGUUUUCUCACUCACACACACAGCCGGGAGGGGGACAAGCUUGCAAACUCAGUCCAACCCAGGGAAGGAAGCUGCCAGCGCUGAGUAGGGAGCUCAGCUGCUGCUGGAGCCUGGCCUGGAGUGUCAGCUGCUGGAUCUGGAGCCUGAGCUGCGCUUUGUUCAUAGUUACAAACAUGUCAGAGUUACAGACACAACCUCCAUUCCCGAGGUGUCCGUAACACUGUGAUUCUACUGCAUUGGAGUUUCUUCGGUAAUUUGCUUCUUUUGUUGCCUGGUAGUUUCACAGCAUUGGUCUCAUACCUUACAUUUUUUCCCCUCUUGAUUUCAUGGUAUUGCAUCCCUCAAGAUCUACGUUGAAAGAUUAAAAAUGGCUGUUCAUUUCCUUUACGUUUUUCUUCUAUAAAAACCACCUGUACGUACAAUUGCAAAGCAAGUAAUGUAGUUCUUGCAGACGGAGGCGACAGUGUCAUGCACAGACAAUGCACCAGAGGAGCUGAAGGUAUUAAAGAAAGAUGAAAAUGUGCCAUGGACUGGAACUCUGGCUAUUGUUCAUUCCUAUGUUACUCAUAAAACAGUCAAAGAAGAAGAGAAGAGAAAAUUAUU